GGUCACAUUCAGAAGUUGGGGUUUAACGGCGUGGCCGCGACGAUUACCAGUAACGAGGGUUUUACUACUACGCUAUGGAAGCUCGACGUGACCGCCAAUCAAUUUGAGGAACGCGAAUUAACGCGAGUCCCAACACCAAGCUGUGCUUGAGGGUUGAAAUGACGCUCGAACAGGCAUGCCCGCCAGAAUACUGGCGGGCGCAAUGUGCGUUCAAAGAUUCGAUGAUUCACUGAAUUCUGCAAUUCACAUUACUUAUCGCAUUUUGCUGCGUUCUUCAUCGAUGCCAGAACCAAGAGAUCCGUUGUUGAAAGUUUUGAUUUAUUUAUGGUUUUACUCAGAAGUUACAUAUAGAAACAGAGUUUAGGGGUCCUCUGGCGGGCCGUCCCGUUUUACCGGGAGCGGGCUGAUCCGCCGAGGCAACAAGUGGUAUGUUCACAGGGGUUUGGGAGUUGUAAACUCGGUAAUGAUCCCUCCGCUGGUUCACCAACGGAGACCUUGUUACGACUUUUUAC
rnacentral:misc_RNA from 1 species